UUUACUUUCUGAGGGUUUGUGACCUCAGGAUGAACCCCACCAAGACCCCACAUUUCCAAGCUCUUCUUUAUUAUCCUGUAUUUUAAGAUGACUUUCGAGAUCUGCAGAAGAAAGGCCUCUCUGACAAACAUUUGUUUCUCCAGGAGCUCCAGUUCUAAAUGAAACCUCAAAUAUCGUGGGAGCUGGAAACCCGAAACCCCAGAGUUUGUACCAAGAACCUGCUGGAUUGAGCAGCGGGGCUCUGAAUAUCCUCAUUCAUCUCCAGAAUCACCAUCAGCUGCCUCUGUGACUGCAGAGCCCCAAAAUUAUGGAAGUUUGCACAAACAGCCCCUCACACUGUGAAUUAAACCCCUUUUUCCUUGGUUUUGAGCACUCAUGGAUGGAACUUCCGUCGUGUUUCACAGAUAACAAAAUCGCAUGGCCAGCCCAGGAGGAUCCUGAGCACUCCCACCCAUCCCAGAAGGGCUCUGGAGGAUGGGGCUGGGAGAAGAUGCUGUUCUCUGGCUGUGGAACAAGAGCAGAGCUGGACAUGCCACUCCUCAGGACUCAGUGAUGAUUGCCACACAAUUAACACAAACUCAUGUCUUCAGAACUUCUCCCCUGUGAUCAGGUUUGACCGAGGUGCUCGGCAGCUUCUAGAAUGGAGGAUGGACUGAGAGGAAACAUAACCUU
ensembl:lncRNA